CAGCACUAUCUCACACACUGAAAAUGAAACCAAUGACUCUCUUUGACUACUGUUGCCACUGAUGCUCAUACAGCCUUGCACAGAGAUCAUAAUAAACACUUGUGUGUCAGUCUGAGAUGAAAGAUGGAGGCAUGAGAAAGGAAUCCCAUGAUAUUAUACAGCAGCUUCUUCAUCCUGACUUCCCCUCUAUGUGAAGAUGACUGAUUUAAAGCCCGGGAACAACAGCUUCAUUAAAGCCUAUGGAGUUGGAAAUCAAAGAUAACUGAAGUGACAGGAAAGUGGUAUGCAAUUGCUUAAGUAUGUAAUCCCUUAAUUAUUUUGUUCAGGAAACAAUAGUCAUUUCCCUCACUGAUCAGGAAAAAACAUCAAAGCUUAGAUUACAUAAUUAAACUCCUUUUUUUUCCUAUGUACUGGCAUUUGGGAGAGUACAUGGUAUACUGUAGUAAAUGACACAAAGAAUUCACAUGUACAAUGGCAUUGAAUUUCCACUAAAUAAGGAUAAAUUAAAAAUGUCAACUGUAUUUCAUAUUUGCAGUAAUCCUAGGAAGUAAGAAGCCAGAUAGUCAGUCACUCACCCAGGAACAGUGACUGAAUUCCAUGGCUGAGAGAGGUUUUCAGCUCAUGUUUCCCUGAUCCUAAUACAGAGGUGGGCAACAUUAAAUGUUCCAGGGGCCAGUUUUCCACCCCCAAGACCACACUAGGGCUGAAAAUGCAGAUACACCAAACCAAAAUGGCAUCUCCAUUUUCUAGAAUUCUAUUUCUGGUGGAUUUUGUUUGUUUGUUUGAGAUGCCUUGGAUAUUGGCUCGUGGCAGUGGGAUUUUAAGACCUGUUUUCCCAUACAGGGGUCCAUAAGGAAGCACAGAAGGGACCCCUUAAAAUGGCCUAGACCGAGGUUAUAGGUGCACAAUGCUCCACAUCCAUGCUGUUAUUUGCCCACCUAGUCCUUACACAUCAGGUUUUUAAAAAGUUUUUGAUUUUCCUGUACAAAGUUCCUGACAAACCACCCCCACCACUUCCACCCAAACACAAACCUUCAGGCUGACAGGUUGUGUAGUGUCUGUUGCAUUACAGUUAACAAGGUCUGCAGAUUUUCUACAUGGAUAAAGAUGAAGAGAAGGUUCUAGCCACAAGGAAGACAUUGUGUCACUAUUUGGGAAGUUUGAUUUAAGUAUGAAAAAGAAGUGCUUCCUAACAGUGAUAUAAAUUGAGUUACGUGACACUGCCUGCCUGUUUAAGUUCUUAAUAAAGAAAUGUGUAUAGCCUCA
rnacentral:lncRNA from 1 species